UAUUUUCUACAAUGUUUUGAUAAGAUAUUGUGCUGACUGAUUUUUGUAUCCUUACUAAGCUAAUGUAGCUUACCUUGUUCAUUAAUUAUCAUUUUCAUAUCAGGACACCCAAGACCCCGCACCUAAAAAAUGAGGGAUUCACUAGAAUAUUUUCUAUUUUUGUUUUGGACAAGAACUUGAGGUUAAUUGUAACAGUCUGAACUCCAAUAUCGGUGGAAACGAAUCUUUGC
rnacentral:lncRNA from 1 species